AGAGAAAGAGAGAGUCUUUGGAGAGUUGUGAGGAGAUAAGUGACAUAAACUGGCAUGUUCUGAAAGAAUCACUCUGGAUGCUGUGUGGAGAAAACACUGAAAAGAAUUCUAGAGUGAAAGUUUCAUGAAUAUAAGAAGCAAGACAAGGAAGUGGCUUAUGCUUAAGGCCUUAAAGGCAACCACUGUGACAAUCCAGCCAUUCUCUGGAGAAUUCAGCAGAAAGCCAGUUGGAAGAAUUUGUUAUCUCGAUUAUGGAGGGCGACAAGUCCCACAGUCUGCCAUCUGCAGGAUGGAGAACCAGGGGGAGAAUAAUUGACUCCAUUCAAGUGUUCGCUCCUGUUUCAAUCAACUAUGGCUGAAGAGUGAGGAGACAUUUGGAAUAAAUAUGGCUUCUGGGGGCCCAUUCCUAUGGAUCAGCAGCUGGCUUCUGGAGGCCCAUUCCUGUGAAUCGUCGAUCUCAUAGAAGAUAAUAUUGUUAGAAGGCUUACCUCAUUGAUGCUGAACAUCCUAAAAAGCUUCUGCUGCUUUGAGUCACUGAAAAAGACCAAGAAACAUGAAUUUAAAAAAAAAUUUCAAAUGUUAUAAAAUAAAUAAUAUGAACUCAUUAUACCUACAAUGAAUAA
rnacentral:lncRNA from 1 species